GGGAACCGCAAGUUGAAGCUGAUGAAUUCUUUAACAUAAAUCACUAUUACCCAUGGAUUGGAGCAGUGCCAGUGGAGGCUAGCGGGUCUGCAGAGGAGCAGCUCAAGUCAUGCGAUUACUGGAGCUUGCAGCAAAAUGACUGGAACAACAUCUGGGCUGCAGCAAGCUGGCCAGGACAUUUUAAAAGAGCUCCUGUGGUGCCUCCAACUUUGAUUUUACAGAGCUGCGGGGAAAGAAACAGGCUGUGUUCAAGAGCUCAUGUGUUUUGCCUCACAUGUUUUGUCCUUGCUCACUGUGAAGGGCCUCACUCAGCUGGGGACCCUGAGGGACACUCUUGGGCAGUCAUUCUCUGUCUACUCUGCUAGCUCUCUUAGAAACCUUGGCAUAGUGCCUUCCUGGAAAUCCUGGAUUGCAUCUAAAACCAUGUGGCAGAGGGAGAAACAACAGACAGGACAUCCUGAGAAGACUCAGGCUGGGACGAAAGCUCUGCUCUCCAGGGACAAAGCAGCAGGGGACCAGCCAUGCUCAGAAAUACUCCACUGGCCAGUGCACAUUUUUUUGAGCAAUUUCACUUGCUUCCUCACCACCUGUCCCCCUAACACUUCU
ensembl:lncRNA TBX18-AS1 TBX18 antisense RNA 1